AUUGAACGCUGGCGGCAGGCCUAACACAUGCGAGUCGAACGGUAACAGGAAGCAGCUUGCUGCUUCGCUGACGAGUGGCGGACGGGUGAGUAAUGUCUGGGAAACUGCCUGAUGGAGGGGGAUAACUACUGGAAACGGUAGCUAAUACCGCAUAACGUCGCAAGACCAAAGAGGGGGACCUUAGGGCCUCUUGCCAUCGGAUGUGCCCAGAUGGGAUUAGCUAGUAGGUGGGGUAACGGCUCACCUAGGCGACGAUCCCUAGCUGGUCUGAGAGGAUGACCAGCCACACUGGAACUGAGACACGGUCCAGACUCCUACGGGAGGCAGCAGCGGGGAAUAUUGCACAAUGGGCGCAAGCCUGAUGCAGCCAUGCCGCGUGUAUGAAGAAGGCCUUCGGGUUGUAAAGUACUUUCAGCGGGGAGGAAGGGAGUAAAGUUAAUACCUUUGCUCAUUGACGUUACCCGCAGAAGAAGCACCGGCUAACUCCGUG
rnacentral:rRNA from 1 species